rnacentral:rRNA from 1 species
CAAGACCUUGCGCUUUUGGAGCGGCCGAUGUCUGAUUAGCUAGUUGGUGAGGUAAAGGCUUACCAAGGCGUCGAUCAGUAGCUGGUCUGAGAGGACGACCAGCCACACUGGGACUGAGACACGGCCCAGACUCCUACGGGAGGCAGCAGUGGGGAAUUUUGGACAAUGGGGGAAACCCUGAUCCAGCCAUGCCGCGUGAGUGAAGAAGGCCUUCGGGUUGUAAAGCUCUUUCAGCCGGAACGAAACGGUCACGGUUAAUACCCGUGACUACUGACGGUACCGGAAGAAGAAGCACCGGCUAACUACGUGCCAGCAGCCGCGGUAAUACGUAGGGUGCAAGCGUUAAUCGGAAUUACUGGGCGUAAAGCGUGCGCAGGCGGUUUUGUAAGUCAGAUGUGAAAUCCCCGGGCUUAACCUGGGAACU